rnacentral:snoRNA from 1 species
GUAUGCAUCAGGACGAAACCAUACGGAUGUAAACUGGAUCUAUGAUCCUGACUUCCGAGAGCGCUUUUUCUCAUGUGGAUAGUUCCGCUGCCUUCCUACUGAUCAUCCAUU